rnacentral:rRNA from 1 species
UUUUGGGCUCAUACCCUAAAAGGCACUAGAUCGCAUCUGAUCUUGGAAGUUAAGCAAGGUCAGCCCUGAGUAGUACUCGUAUAGCAGACUGACAAUAAAUACCAGGUACAGUAGGCU